UACAGAGGAGCCAAGCGUUGUCCGGAUUGACUGGGCGUAAAGCGCACGCAGGCGGACGCGCGCGUGGGGUGUGAAAUCUGGCCGCUUAACGGCCAGGCGCCAUCCCAUACGGCGUGUCUGGAGUGAUGCAGAGGUCGAUGGAAUUGCCGGUGUAGUGGUGGAAUGCGUAGAGAUCGGCAGGAACACCCAGGGGGAAACCAGUCGACUGGGCAUCUACUGACGCUGAGGUGCGAGAGCGUGGGGAGCGAACCGG
rnacentral:rRNA from 1 species